rnacentral:rRNA from 1 species
UACGGAGGGGGCUAGCGUUGUUCGGAAUUACUGGGCGUAAAGCGCGCGUAGGCGGACCUGCAAGUCGGGGGUGAAAGCCCGAGGCUCAACCUCGGAACUGCCUUCGAUACUGCGGGUCUCGAGUCCGGGAGGAGGUGAGUGGAAUUCCUAGUGUAGUAGGUGAAAUUCGUAGAUAUUAGGAAGAACACCAGUGGCGAAGGCGACUCACUGGCCCGGUACUGACGCUGAGGCGCGAAAGGCGUGGGGAGCAAACAGG